rnacentral:snoRNA from 1 species
UGGAUCGAUGAUGAUUCCAUGUGGCAUAUUAGUUAUACGAUGAAUACAUCUGGGAUUCUGAGGUCCAU